rnacentral:lncRNA from 1 species
CGCGUGGUGUGCGCGGUCCCCGUGCAGCCCGCCCUGCCGCAGGCUGCCCUCCACCCCCAGCCCCAGCUCCAGCCCCCAGCCCGUCCCCACUGCUCAUAUCCGAGCAGAUAGACCCCGGCCCCACCCUCCCGUGCUGAGCCUCCUUUCUGCCGGGAAGUUCGUCCGGGAGUCAAACAUCGCUGCCCUCCGGUUGCGCCACGGAGGGGGAGCCAGGAUAGGAAGCUGCCGUGAAAUCAGGAAGCUGAGCGCGCCGGGCCCCGGAUCCGAACAGAAAAGGCUUCCACCCGCUCCCCUGAGGGAUCCCACGCUGAGGGACUGAACCCCGCACCCCAGCCGCGCUCACCACCCCCACCCUCUCGCCUGGGCUGCUCUGACCUGGGGGAGGACGGGAGAGAGAUAUGAAGCAUGAGAAAGAGCAGGAAGGCUGGUUUGAAGCUGGAGGGGACCACAUAAGAAGGAAUGCAGGCAGCCUUGAGGUGAGAGAGGGGCCUCCAGCUGAGAGCCAGCAAAGAACUGAAUUCCGCCAACAACCUGAAUGAACUUAGAAGCAGAUUCUUCCCCAGAGCCUCCAUGAAGGAAUGUUGUCCUGCCAACCCUUAUUUCAGCCUUUAAGAC